AAAAAAUAACUGGCAAUUUUAUGUUUUGCAUUUCUUCCCCCAAACUGUACCAAAAUUGAACUGAACCGUGACUAAAAAAACUAAUUUUGUGAGUUUUGUGUAGCGUUACACCUCUAGUGCUCGUGGUUUUUUUGGUCUGUGCUGGAAGUUUUAAUGCCAAACCAUGAUUAGCAAGGAUCGAUCUACCCAUGACUUUUCUGUAUUUCCAAACACCACUGCUGUAAACCUUUUUAUCUCAACAGAACAAUCGCUGGAACAUCGAGUCUCCAUGGCUUAUGAUUGACCACCUCAAGUAUCAUCUGAACUUCCCUUUACAAUAAUUGUCUUGCCUUAUAACAGUUUUUCUGUUGUGUAUAUUAGCGGUCCAGCAGCUUUUCUCCAUCCUACUUCAGGUUAUUUGCUGAUCUGCCAUGAAUUUCUUUUCCAGUUUUCACUGCUGAUUCUGGAUACAUAAGGAAACAUCUUCACACACACACACACAUCUCAUCUUCACCAAUGUGCACUUUCUAAUCCUCUGCAUUUAAUCAGGCUUUGAUUAAAGGUUCUGUGGUUACACUCUGUCAUAAAGUCUAAUGUGUACAUCUUUGUAUAUUUACUCUGAUUUCCUGCAGUGAGCUCAUCCAGGCUUUGCCCCGUCUUGGUAGGAGCAAAUAGUUCCAUUUAUGUAGAGUGAGAACGAGUUAGUGGAGAUGUCAGAGGUGAACUGGGAGGACGACAGAAGAAACAAUGAGGAAAACUAACUCUGUUUUUUGGAGCCCAAGACAGAGGAAGGAAUGGGAAAGACAGACAAGCAGGGGGCUCCUGUACAGUCAUUCCCUCACAGCUGAUUCAUGCUUGAAAAGCUCCUGGAAGGCCUGCAGAUCAUCUGUGGAGGCCAUGUUUGUAGUGGACAGAGACUGAAAUGUGUUGGACUGAAGCAGCUUCUGGAUUACCUGCCAGGAUUUUCCUGCUCUUGUACUUCCUUGGUGGUAUCUGAGUCUUCCCUAAUUCCAGGUUUUGGCAACACUAUAGAGCCCAGAAUGAGUGUGUAGAAGCAGAAGACUUGUGUGUGUGUGUGUGUGUGUGUGUGUGUGUGUGUGUGUGUGUGUGUGUGUGUGUGUGUGUAUUUGUUUUUGCUUGAACAUGCCUCUGCUGUCACACUCUCCUAACACACCUUUGUGAGUUCAGACAUGUCUACAAUAAUAACUCAUGAAGAGACGUCCAAAUCUCCUUUUUCUUUUGUUCAAUCUUUUACAGUAAUUUAGUCAUUUUUCCGUUGUGAAAUUCCAGAGACAGAAAUCUGUAGCAACUUGAGGACUUUAACCUGCAGUCUAAAUUUACCAGACUUUAGAGUUUAAACUUGAGGUUUAGAAGUUUGUUUUUAUUCUCUUUAGGCUUCCACGUGUCGGAACUCAGAACCCGUCUCUGAGCAGACACAUCACGGGCGGAUUCUUUGUUUCAGUUAAUUCCCAAUGUAACACUCUUAACUUCAUCAAAUUAAAUGAAAUGGACCUCAAAAGCCAAUGAAGAAUCUUCAGUCAUGCAGCAAAAACUUCUUUAUUCCAGACACGUUCUGAUGAGCCCAUAGAAGGUGGUCACUUCAUCACAUCAAAAUGAUCAAGCGCACACACACUUUGCACACACUCAUUCUUAUACCCUGGUGUUACAUGACACCUUUACUUUUUUUCUAUUUUCUUCACCCUAGUAAAGUCCCCUUCCUGGGAUUCCAUAUUUGGGGUUUCCUGUUCCCCCAUUACCCUUAUUUACGGCUUUUUCUCUGUGUCACUUAAGAAAAGAUUGUGUAUACAACCUUCACCCCCUCUGGUACAGCCAGGCACCGCUUCCUCCUGCUCUCAGCUUUUUAUCUUCCCUACAUCUACUCUGUCUCCAACUCACAGACAUCCUGGAACGUCUUUUAGGAGCAUUCUUCACUAACAGCAUCGUAAAUCUCACCUCAUCUCUGCACAAUAAACAUGCUUAAAUCUG